GGCGCUUUGGCGGAGUGGUUAUCGCGUGGCACUAGAAGUAGGAACUAAGUGCCAAUUUGAUUUGUGACACACUUCUAGAGUAUACAUCUACUCAACAACAUAAUGCCAUUCCCUCUGGGAGCAUAGGUUCAAAUCCUGUAGGCGUCG